UACGAGAGGCCCAAACGUUAUUCGGAAUUACUGGGCUUAAAGAGUUCGUAGGCGGCAUUGCAAGUAGGGUGUGAAAGCCCUCGGCUCAACCGAGGAAUUGCGCUCUAAACUGCAGUGCUUGAGGAAGCUAGAGGUGAGCGGAACUGAUGGUGGAGCGGUGAAAUGCGUUGAUAUCAUCAGGAACACCGGAGGCGAAGGCGGCUCACUGGGGCUUUUCUGACGCUGAGGAACGAAAGCUAGGGGAGCGAACGGG
rnacentral:rRNA from 1 species